rfam:Strigomonas culicis Cont10362, whole genome shotgun sequence.
UCCGAUGUGGUAUAGUCGGCUAGAACAAGCGGCUCUCACCCGCUAGACCCGGGUUCGAUUCCCGGCAUCGGAA